ACCUAAGACCAUACCACCCAGAAUAUCUUGGAAGCUAAGCAAGGUCGAACCUGGUUAGUUCUCGGAUGGGAGACCACCUGGGAAUGCCAGGUGCUGUAGGGU
rnacentral:rRNA from 1 species